rnacentral:rRNA from 1 species
GAUGAACGCUGGCGGCGUGCCUAAUACAUGCAAGUCGAGCGAACAGACGAGGAGCUUGCUCCUCUGACGUUAGCGGCGGACGGGUGAGUAACACGUGGAUAACCUACCUAUAAGACUGGGAUAACUUCGGGAAACCGGAGCUAAUACCGGAUAAUAUAUUGAACCGCAUGGUUCAAUAGUGAAAGACGGUUUUGCUGUCACUUAUAGAUGGAUCCGCGCCGCAUUAGCUAGUUGGUAAGGUAACGGCUUACCAAGGCGACGAUGCGUAGCCGACCUGAGAGGGUGAUCGGCCUCACUGGAACUGAGACACGGUCCAGACUCCUACGGGAGGCAGCAGUAGGGAAUCUUCCGCAAAGGGCGAAAGCCUGACGGAGCAACGCCGCGUGAGUGAUGAAGGUCUUCGGAUCGUAAAACUCUGUUAUUAGGGAAGAACAAAUGUGUAAGUAACUAUGCACGUCUUGACGGUACCUAAUCAGAAAGCCACGGCUAACUACGUG